GUUUUAUAUAUGAACCAAACUCUCUGCAUUCAAAUGUCACUAGCACUAAGUUACGUUGAAAAUUUCAAUCACCAAAUAUAUAUAACAAAUAUAAUAUACACAUGUAUACACACACGGACAGAGGAAGAAAAUCCAAAAUUUAUUUUCAUUUCGUAUCAACGAUAGAAAAAAAUCUAAUUCUUUGCUCAUCAUUGUGGUUUCUCUAAUUUUGAUUUCACGGAAUUUCACUCUUUGUUAUAGAGUGGGCAACAACAACAACUUCAUCAAAACCGGACUAUUUGGUUAUUUCCGUUCGAAAAAAAAAUUAGCACCCCGAUCUCUCUGUCUUUCGCUCGAUUGGCAGCUUUCUUCUUUUUUUUUAUUAUGCGAUGUAACCAAAAAACAUUGGAAUUAUUUAUUUAAAUAAUUUUUUUCAAUUCACACGCUUUUUUAAUAUUCUCUUGUUUCGUCUCAGUCACUUCAGUAAUACACAAUAAAAAAUAUUAACA